AGGGGGGAUUUGGAGUCUUAUUUCCUUAUAACUGUGCUCCCAUCCACAGAGCGCCCGCUUCGAUCAAGUUGAUAUCGCAACAUUCAGCCAGGAUAGGGAAUAUACGAGGCAGACUAACCAAAAAUUUGGGCCUCAUAUAUUAUUGCCAGAUGUAAUAAUAAUUCCUGGUGGUUUAUUUUUUAAAUAAAUUAAUAGAUGUAAAUAUCCAGCCAUGUUAACACAUGAUGUCGUUGUUGGAACACAUCAACAGAGAGAAGACCAUCCCUGCAGGAGUUGGGUGACAUCCGACUUAAAUUAGUGGAUGCAUUUUUACAGCAACCUUGAAUUGACUGGAGAACUCAGUGGACCACAUGCACUUCAGGAGAAAAUCAACGCAGACUGUUUUUCUCUCUCAAAGACUUUGAUGAACGGAAAUCGUAGUGGAUCACGCCCCUCUAGAUUUGUUUUCUACCAAACUUCAGUUCCGGACUCAUCAUAUCUGCAUCUCAACUGGAGCAAAGUUUUCAACGUGUGAUCUAAUUUAUAACCGGGAUUUCUUCAGUCUACAGCCACUCUCUGUCCAUGAGGGAUGGCGCAUGACAAGGUGUGAGGGCCUCUGCAACAAACACAUGGAUUACAUUUACUACACUCUCCUCCAGACCAUCAAUAAGUCAAGACCCGUGGAAAUCCAACAAGGACAAAUAAUACAAAGAUAAAAAUACUUCUCUACCACCCCAAGAUGAAGCCAGACUGAUACUGUGCUUAUGUUCAUUAGCUCACUGUAAAAUAAGCUGUGGCGUGCCACAGGCAAGUGUGCUAGGGUUUCUGUUAUUCCUGCUGUACAUUAAAGAUAUCAAGGAUGCUUG